GGUGCCCGUGCAGAUCAGCAGAGAUGGCAGAAGCUUCUGUGGCUGUUGAGUUACAGGUGUGUCUGCAGGGAGGACUUCUCCAGCUCCUUUGCUGAUUCCUACACAGAAGCCUGGCUCCCAUCGCAGAGGUCCUCCACCAGAAGAGAUCAAAGACAUGGCAGACAAGAAAUUCCAGAAUCCAUUAGAAAUCAUGUGGCAAAUGCUGACGGAAGUGCUGCAGGGACGACAAGAAAGGAAAGGAGAGCCUGCGGAGAAAGAAGCAUUUCCCGGAGGAAGCAGUGGUUGCAUGCCAGCCUCUGCUGCAGGAAGGGAGGCCAUGCCAGGCACAGGCA